GAAUGUCUGGCUUGUUUCACAGUCUUCUGGGGACACUUGUGUUAAGAAGAAAUCAGAGGACUUAGAGUAUUUUGCUUUGCCUCGAGGGUCUCUUCACAGUUGAAGGAAUAGAAGAAAGCUGCUGCACAAGUCUAGCUUCCCCCAAGAGGAGUGUGGCUCUCAAAUGCCAGAGAGGAAGACCUGGUUCACUCUGUGGCCAAGAAGAGCUACAGAGCUGAUGCAUGGACCUUGCACACAGCUCCACAGCUGGAUUCUGCUCCCUCCCAGUGGAUUAGAGGCUGUGACCUGGGAUUUGAAUCGAACCUACUGGUCUAACGCAAUGGCGUUCCACUGACUUUGGCUGAAGGAUCUAUUUGUCUUCUCCAUAGCAUAUAAUAAUGAACAACAAUAGGAUAUUUUCACAUGGUUUCUGAAGAUGAUGAUCACACAUUACAAAACAAGCACUACUACUGUCUAGAAUAACUGUUUUCAUAUUCAUGGCUUUCAAGUUAAGAUUUCAAAUAAUGAUCAAAAACAUUUAAGGUGUACAUUUGUACCUUUGUGACUGAGGACUGGUAGAGGGAAGGACCAAGGAUUUCUAUCUGGCAAACACUAAAUGUCUUUUAUGGUAAUCUUUGUCACUUAUUCUUUAAUUUCCCUGUAACACUUUUUUCACAUUAAAUAUUCCUGGACUAUUAGUAGAUUCUGGUUCAGAUAAAACUCCUACGACGGAAGGAAUUGCUUUCCUGUUUUCGCAGAUCCUUGUUCAGUUGUUUCUCUUCAUCUUCUCUCUCUAAUCUCUGUACAGUUUCUUCAUUUUUGGUAGGCUGGUCUUUUUUCAUAAAAGAUGCUGGUUAUAUGUUCAUUAGUUUUCAUCAAUUUUCUGCUGUCUUUAGGAGCCUCAAUUAUUUUAGCUUGUGGUGAGGUUCCGUUUGCCUCAGUUUGCCUAACUUUUUCAGAGUUGUAUUCUGCAGCCUUGUGUAUUUUAUUUUUUUCAUUAAGUCUUUUUAUUAUGCUCUUUUAGCUAAUUUCCCCGUGGAGUUAAGUAAUAUUUCAGUUACUUUUUAAUCCAAAGGUUAGUCACUACAUUCCGUGUUAUUUGUUCAUUCCUCUGGGGACAAUUUUCCUAUUUCUCUAUGAUUUUUCUUUUUAUUUUAAAAUUCUGAGGAUUACAGCUUAAAAAAAAAGUCUUUAAUUAUGGACUUAAUUAAUAAAGAUUGUUGGGCAUUCACUUUAAUUUUAUUAGUCCUGUCUUCCUCCAUAUUCACACAGUUUCUGAACAUUUACUGAAAUUUCAAAAAUUUCAGAAGAUAAAACUGUGCAUCCAGAAAUAUAUAUUCAAAAGUUUAUUUUUCUUUGGUGUUUCAUUUCUCAGUUAUGUGGACAUUUUAAAUAAUACUACCGGGGUGGAAAUUUUGGCUUGUGAGCUAAAUGGUGAGUUUCAUGCUGUGAACAGUUAAUAUGAACUGUUCGCAAACAAUGCAAAGGAUUGUGCUCUGCUAAUAUAGAAGCAAUUUGGUGUAUGCCUAUGGAUAGAGAAAAUCUGUCCGCAGAAGAUUCAAGAACAGGAAAAGACUAAACUUACAGUAAAUCUUACUUGUAAUGUAUAAUUUGACCCAAUAAACAUGAAAGCGAAUUUUA